AUCAUACUCCUUCCGUCCGAAAAUAAUUGUCCUAGAAAUGUGUAAACUGGACGUAUCUAUAACUAAAAUAAGUCCAUAUACAUCUAUUUCUAGGACAAGUAUUUCCAGACGGAGGGAUUAUUAC
rfam:Hordeum vulgare subsp. vulgare, WGS project CAJW01000000 data, contig: morex_contig_181464